rnacentral:rRNA from 1 species
GAUCCUGGCUCAGGAUGAACGCUAGCUACAGGCUUAACACAUGCAAGUCGAGGGGCAGCAUGGUCUUAGCUUGCUAAGGCCGAUGGCGACCGGCGCACGGGUGAGUAACACGUAUCCAACCUGCCGUCUACUCUUGGACAGCCUUCUGAAAGGAAGAUUAAUACAAGAUGGCAUCAUGAGUCCGCAUGUUCACAUGAUUAAAGGUAUUCCGGUAGACGAUGGGGAGUG